rnacentral:ncRNA from 1 species
UUGAGCCGUAUGCGAUGAAAGUCGCACGUACGGUUCUUAUGAGGGGCAGGUUCGAAAGAACUCACCUAUUCAAAC